AUGGAUGUAAAUUCUGACCUGCUGCACUCACCUCUUAGAGCGAUCAUUCCUAAGGCUAGUUACACUGAAAUAAAAGUCAUCAACCUUCUUUCGGACAACAACAAGGUCACUAUCUGCUCAGCAAAAGAAAUAGAAAUUAAGAGCAACAUUCAAGCACAACAUUCAAACACAAGCACAUCUCACCGGCUACACCAGAAAAGAUACAACCACAUGAUUAUAAAUAUCACAACCCAUACAUUACAAAUCUCCCCCCACAUAGAAACAGGUUCACUGAACUUUAUUUACAAACCACACAACAAAGCACAAACCAGAAGUUCCACUUGCACAACACAGGCAAUUCAUAGGGAUAUCAUGGACCAUAACCAACAACAAAAGGGAUGGGGAUGGGGCAAGAAGAGAGAAGCAUGCUCCUCUCUUUAUGGAUUCUUGCCUAUACCAGUCGCAGCACUGGAAUGA
rnacentral:rRNA from 1 species